rnacentral:sRNA from 1 species
UGAUUUGGGUUAUUCUACAUUUUGAUGA